UCCCCACCCAGAUAUCAUCACCCCCUUAUAAGAGCCGAAUCCCUCGGAAGCUCAUGACACUCCAGCAGGGAGUGUCUCUGAAGAUGUAAAAGCAUAGAAAAGAGGGAAGCAGGACAAGUUUGCCUUGCUUCUCUUCUUUCUAACCGACCUGGAGCACGGAGCAUCAGGGAGAUCUCCUGCCCGCUAAUGAUGUCCCGUGGGUCUAGCACGUUCCCCAGGGACUUGCUCAUCUUCCGGCCCUGCCUGUCCCGAACCAUGGAGUGAAGAAGCACCUGCAGAUACGGAGGGGUCAGCGGGAAGGACUUAGGCCCGCGGCUUCUGUGCUCAGUGAGUCAGGGUGACUCUGGGACAGGCGUUUGAGUACAUUACCUUGCUGAAGGGGAGCUGCCCAGUGAGCUGGGUCCCCAGCAUGACCAUGCGGCCCACCCAGAACAUCAGCAGGUCACUACCCGUCUCCAAGAGGGUGAGGGGGUAGAAGUGAGCAAGGUCUGGUGUCUAGGAUGAGAUGAGCAGUAAGGGGCAGGCCUGCCACCGCCAGUCGCUGCCCACCCGUGUCGUGCCCACCUUCCAACCCACCUCACCUCUCGGGGCCAACCCAGGGCAGAAAAGGGGAAAAGAGCCGAAGAGAACCAAGUGUCCAAGACGUCAGGGUCUGGAGACAAAACAGGGGAAGUGUGUGGCUAAAGCUCUAGUGCCAGAGGCCUCCAGGCCCUGCUGCCAAUCCCACCCAUGGGGGUUUGCCGUCUGCCCCAAUUCU
rnacentral:lncRNA from 1 species